GAGAGAGCCAACCAUCACCUGUUGGAAAUGCUGGUACAUUGACUGUGAGUAUUCUCACCUAUCUCAGGAAUCAGAUUUCUUGAGAUCUGAUCAUCGCCUCUCAGGAAUGCUGGUGCAUUAUAUAUGCCACCCGGAGGAACAAAACCAGAAAAACAAUCGGCUGCCUGACCAGAGGCAAGGCAAGAAGAGAUUAGUACUGCAAGCCCCUCUCUCCUCUUGAGACUUCCAGCCUGCAUUCGCAACCAACCUGCACAACCAACAGCGGCAGCAAUUUUCUAAAGGAAGACAAAGCAAGCCGCACUCUGGCUGCAAGACAAGUGAAAGAAAAAGCAGACUGGCCUCUCAGAAAGGGCCGCAAGAAGAAAACAUACACAUUUCUCCUAAUGGCAAGCACAGCCGCGAAUGCUACUUUUCAGUUGCCUAGGAUCACACAAGCAUGCAGUGUGAACCGUAAUCUGAAUUGGGAUGCCUGGUUCCGCAUUGCUGUAAUUUUUAGACACCACUCAGGUCUGAAAAACAUGUCCAAGUAAUUUCAAGAUCAGAUAGUCAAGUGACUAGAGACAAAACAACCCAAACCGACAAGAAUAAACCACGACUAAUUUUAUCAAUUACAUCCAAAAGCUCCAAAACUGGUUCCCACUGUCUUUAUUUCAAACAACAAUAAUGUGUGGAAGAUGAAAAGAAGGAAGGGAUGCUGUAAUGAAACAGCCUGACCAAGGUCAUGCAGGGAAAAAAAAUACGUCUCAAAACAACAACAGCAACAAAAAUCCCAACAACAAAUGAACAAAAAAACCCCUCUGCAACAGAGCACAACAGAGCUGGGGGCAGAAGCCAGCACUCCCAUGCCCAGUCAAGGUGAUGAACCUGCCUUCAUAUUCCUGAGGAUUCUAGAAACAGA